UACGAAGGGGGCUAACGUUGCUCGGAAUUACUGGGCGUAAAGGGAGCGUAGGCGGAUAGUUCAGUCAGAGGUGAAAGCCCAGGGCUCAACCUUGGAAUUGCCUUUGAUACUGGCUGUCUUGAGUAUGGGAGAGGUUAGCGGAACUCCGAGUGUAGAGGUGAAAUUCGUAGAUAUUCGGAAGAACACCAGUGGCGAAGGCGGCUAACUGGCCCAUUACUG
rnacentral:rRNA from 1 species